UGAAGCUCCCCUUUAUGACUUUGGUUAAUUAUUCUUUAAAUGAAGCUUCCACCAAAACCUGCAAUCACCUCCUCGCCGCUCCACAGCCGCCGCUGCACCUGCAAGUGUGGAUUAUGUGCAAUCAAUCGUAUGUAUAUGGUGGUUGGCUUGAGGUAGCACCGUCAAAGAGCAAGGGAGUGUGCCUUUCCUCUCUAACAUAGUGGUGACUAGCUGCAUGAAUCCUUCACAUUGGGCCAGUAUUCUAUUUCUGUCCAUAAAGUUAUGUUUUAUUUUGCAAUUUAGUUUUUGAAAAAGAAUAUGCUUCCACCACCGUCGCCACCCGUACUUUCUACUGCCAGUGCAAAGGUUGACUUACCUUACGGGGACGUGAAGAAGGAAUUAGAAGACCGUGGAAGCAGAACUCAAAAUUUGAUAGAUUUUCUCUACAAAGAAAUCUACCUUCUACAUUUGAGGGGAAAUAUGCUUGAAGUGUGCUGCAACAGUGUUAUUGGGGUGUAGACGUGAAAGCGAGCGGAUUGAAGAAUCAGUAAGCAACACUAGUAUAACGAAGAUGCUAACGAUGAAGAAGUGGAUGAUGGCAGUGACGAUAACACGGAUAUCAUGUAGAAUUAUGACAUUUUAUAUGUUAAGUAGUCUUGUGACGUGUUUGUGACUUUAAAUGAAAACGGAUUGUGACAUUUUUGACAUUUAUGUAGUUUAUGUUCAUCUAGUUUUGUGUGUCGUGAA